rnacentral:lncRNA from 1 species
GGUAUCUCUCAUUAUCCAUUUUCUUUCGUUCCUUUUAAAAAAAAAAUAAUUAUAUUUAUUUACAUUUUUUCCAGAAAAAAAAAAAAAAUUAUUAAUGGGGUCAAAUCUCCCAAAUAAAGUUUGAUAUGGACAUUACAAUAAACUUUUGUUUACUUGUAAAAGUAAGAAUUAUUAUCUGUCACUGUUUCGUCUACUUCUUGUGGUAAUUUGGUACCUGAAAUUGAUGAAAACCGUCUGUUGACAUGGCAGAACUUGUUCACAGCUGGAACUGACACCUCAUCCAGCACAGUAGAGUGGGCCAUUGCAGAGCUCAUUCGCCACCCUGAAAUGAUGGCCCAAGCCCAACAAGAGCUGGACGCAGUGGUGGGCCGAAGCAGGCUUGUAACUGAUUUGGACCUGCCCCAACUCACCUAUGUCCAAGCCAUAAUCAAGGAAACCUUCCGCCUGCACCCAUCCACGCCCCUCUCCCUCCCUCGGAUGGCGGCGGAGAGCUGUGAGAUCAACGGCUACCACAUCCCCAAAAACGCCACUCUUCUAGUGAACGUGUGGGCCAUAGCGCGGGACCCAGAGGUGUGGGAGGAGCCACUAGAAUUCAGGCCCAACAGGUUCCUCCCAGGAGGGGAAAGACCAAAUGCGGACGUGAGAGGGAAUGAUUUUGAAGUGAUUCCAUUCGGGGCUGGCCGGAGAAUAUGCGCGGGGAUGAGCUUGGGACUGAGGAUGGUGCACCUGUUAACCGCGACGCUUGUUCAUGCGUUCAACUGGGAGUUGCCGGAAGGCCAGGUGGCGGAGAAGCUGAACAUGGAUGAGGCAUAUGGGCUGACCCUACAACGAGCCGCCCCACUCAUGGUGCACCCACGGCCAAGGCUGUCACCCCAAGUUUUCGGGAAGUAAAUGAGGUUGUUUGCCCAUGAUUAAAAUAGAAGACUUGGUGAUGGAUUUGGCUGAAUAAUUAUGAUGUUCGAGAGCGAGUUUAGUAGUUUUGUGAUGGGUUUUCCCUCAACCACCUGCAUGUUAAUACUGUAAACGAUGAUUCUCAAGGGGUAUCUAAUAAUGCAAUAUGUUGGUUUAAAAUUUAAAAUAUUUACUUCACAAUAUCGAGCGUAGGAGAAGAAACUAGAAAGUCAUAUGAUGAAUAAUGUCCCCAAAACUCAAACAGAGAUCAUCACAAUCUAAAGAGUCGUGCAAGGCGGCGAGUGUACCAACUACCAAUAAAAGCACGAAAGCUGAACAAGGAGUAGCUUCAUCUGUCAUCUGACCAACCAGCCUCCUCACAAAAUACCAUAUUCCAAGUCAAAGGUAGUAUAUAUGAUUUAUUGGACGAGAAGUUGAGGCUCCAAACAUCUUUAAUACAGCACCUUUCAAACAAGAUACUUGAAAAUGUACAAAAUCACCUCAUCUCGAAACCAGGAUUAUAAAAGAAGACGACCUCCCGGACCUAUCAGAUGACCUGAUCGUACAAAAUCACCUCAUCCCGAAACCAAGACUAUAAAAGAAGACGACAUCCCGUACCUAUAAUAUGACCUAAUUGACCGACAUGUGUCUAAAAAGACGAGUCCAAUUACCCUUAUCCCCUUUAUCCUUAUAUGCACAAAAGUCAAUAAAGCCUACCGUAAAAAGUGUGCUGAAACAACUCCUUCAUAAAGAAAGUAACUUUAAAAGAGAAGUCUCUUCCUCCUUAAGGGCUCUCUCUCUCUCUCUCCAUCUUAAAGAAGAGAAAAUGUAUCUUUGUAUCCAAAAUGAUUGAAUAAAAUAUCUAAUAUGUUUCUUGAAGAAUUUUAGCAUAUUGAAGAAGUAUCAUAACUCCUAAUAGAUUUAAUUAUCACUAAAAUUAUUGAAAUAAAACCUCUAGAUGUGUUGUGAUCAUGAAUGCUUAAAUACAGUAAUUUUUAUUUAUUUUUAAAAUAAAUAAUAAAUUAAUUAAUUUAAUCUUAUAUAUUCUCUAGAUCAUGUGGUAUCUUUUAAUUUUUUAAUAUUAAUUUUUUUACAAAUUAAUUAUCAAAUUUAUAAAAACCCCAUGAAUAAUUGACUAAAUCGAUUCUUCCCUAACUUUCAAUAUCUUUCAUAAAUAGGUAAUUUUUUAAAAUAUUAAAGAGUAGCGUGGAAACUAAUUAUUAAUCUAAUUACGAUAUUAAAUAAAUAAAAAUUAGAUAUUUUUGAAAUUCAUGUACUAUAUAGUUAUUUUUUCAUAAAUAAAUUCUUAUUUGUAAUUAAUAAUUUACAUUAAUAAAAAUUUAUAACAUUACUUAUAUCAUCGUAAUAAAUUUAAAAAAUGUGGACUUUGUUGAGGCCUCGCGUCCGUGGUAAUCCAUGUAGUUGCCAAAUGGAUGGACGCACGAUCUCAACCAAUAUAGAUUUCUGGUUUAGUCGUUCCUGCAAAAGGCGUCUGGACAGGGUGUCUGGAUACACCCUCCGAUGGUAUUGUCAGCCAUGGUCCAAGAGAUAAAUCAGUUGGCCUUUUACUAGGUAUAUCAAAACUUACCUUCCUCUUUGUGCGAAGGUCCAUAUAUAUCGUCUCAGAAGCUCUAUCUCCCUCUUUAAUGAUAGAGAGAUAUUUUGGCUUGUCAUGAUGUCUCUAGGUGGUGACAGGGUCAUCAUCACUCGUAGGGCGGCUGACAAAGAUCGUGGGAGGCGCCGCAGCUGUCAGAGAUCGUAGGAAGUGACUUGCCAUCAUUCCUGUCCUUUCACUCUGCAGGUGGCGGAACGUGGGCCGUGAAAGACUGUCGGAAUGACGUAGUAAGACUUGCUUACUUUAGUCAACGAUCCGGACAAACAUAUCCGGAUAGGAUAUGUCAGUCGUUCGGAUGUGAUAUGACGAUCGUCCGGAUGUGAUGUUUGCGAGUGUCAUGUGCUUCUCCCUGAGGAAGUCCGGAUAUGAGAAGCGCGUCACGUGUCUCCUUUGGGGGAAAUCCGGAUGGAGCUAAUCCGGAUAGAAAUGUGUGCCACUUGUCAUCAGGGGGAGGGGUCCCUACAGACUUGUCGUUCAUUUCUUUCUCUCUCAAUAUAUUAUUAAAUACAUAAAUUAAUAAUAUUUAUUAAAAUGAUAUUUGCAAGUUGGGGGUGGGAUGAGAACUAUUAAAUACAUAAAUUAAUAAUAUUUAUUAAAAUGAUAUUUGCAAGUAGGGGAUGGGAUGAGAACUCGUGUUGGGAUUUUUGAUCCUAAACGUCUAAUUGAAGGGAUUUUGAAAAAAAAUAUUUAUUAAAGUAUAUCAAUUUUAAAACCAUUUUCAAAUCUACUAUAUUUUUUAUAAUAUCAAUUAAAAAUUAUCUUUUUAUAAAACACCAACUUUAAAUCAAAUAUGAAAAUUAUUUUGUGAAAAAUUAAUUUUAAAAUUCAACUAAGUUUUCUCUUCAGAAAACAACUUUUACUUUAAGUUUUUGAAAGUACUAUACAUUUGGAAGUAGUUUCAAAAGUGUGAUAUUUUAAUAAAUAUUUUUUAAAAUUGCAAUAUUUUUUUCAAAAUCUUGACACUUAAGAUAGAGUGGGCAAGCAUGGGAAAAAAAUUUACAUACACUCAAAUUUAUGUCUUAGACUAGGAACUGAAAAAUUGUGGGGCAUAUGGAUAAUACAAAAACAAUUAUCUUACUUAGAGUUACUUAUUAUUACUUAUUAUUACUUAUGCAUUAAUUAAAAGGAAAGUGUUAAGGUAUCCAAAUGCUACAUAUAGAACUUCAAAUUCGGACUAAAUUGAAUAUAUAUAUAUAUAAUGAUAUUUAAGUAAUGAAAAUUCAAACAACUAGGAUUAUGGUAUAAGAAUAGGAAUAAAUGAGAUUAUGAUACAAAUAAUAACAUUUGAAAAUGUAUACCUAAGAUCAUUUUAUUGAGUUUUUUCAUACAUUUAUUUGAGCUUAGGAUUGCAGAUGGUGCAUGUUGGGAAGUGUCACAAAUUCCUAAUUAGUAAAGAUUGAGAGAUAUUCAAUGGAACGAGAUGACUCGUGGUUCAAGGUGUAAAUAUAAAGAGUGAAAAUAUAUUUUGAGAACCUAAUAAUUAUAUUUGGUUUUGUCCUCUAUAAUGUUCUCUGUGAUAUAAUGAAAAGAUUUUCUCUCGUCCGUGAAUAUAGGUAUGAUUGAUCAAAUCACGUUAAAACCUCAUUGUAGCCUACUCUCUACGGUGAAUGGUUUGUUUUUGUUUUUUGUUUUUAUUUAUUUAUUUAUUAUUUUGUUCUUCUGACCACCCGGAAUCAUUAAAACCUCGUUGUAGCGCCCCUGCCUCCUGUGAAAGGGUUUGUUUUUGUUUCUAUUUUUUUUUUUUUUUUUUUUGUUAUUCUGAUCACCUCGGAAUUAAGCUGAUGGGGCGACCAAAUACGAAAGGGGAGAGAGAGAGGGAGUUUUGGGCAAACAUGAUUCCGAAAUUCACGGAAUCAUUAUUCUUAUUUUAAAGUCUUGGGCGACGGUGAAUAACUUUUUAAAAUUUCCUAAAAUUUUAAAGUCUCAAAUUUAUUUAUUUAUUUUAAAAAUACCAUUCUCAAAAUAAUUUUCUAAAAUUUGAUUUUAAAAAUUUAGUUUUCAAAACUUUAAUUCUCGAAAUUCACUCUUCUAAAACUCCAUUUUUUAAAAUUUAAUCAUUUAAAAUUCAAUUCUUGAAAUAAUUUUCUAGAAUUCUAAUUUUAAAUUUAAUUUUCCAAGAUUCAAAUUUUUAAAAUUUAAUUUUCCGAAAUUUCCACAAUCCCGAAUUUAAUUUUUUAUUUUUUAUUUUUUUAUGUCACAUUCAAAUAAAUUUUCGAAACUCCAAUUCCUUUUUAUUCAUUUACUUAUUGAUUUUUAAAAUUCCAUCUUUUAAAUAACUCUUCAAAAUUCUGUUUUUAAAAUUUAAUUCCAAUUUCCAAAAUUCCAAUUUUCGUAUCAAUUUAUUUAAUCAUUAUCACUUUAUUCAUUCAUUUAUUUGUUUAUUUUUUUAAAAUUCAAUUUUUAAAUAACUCUUCAAAAUUUCAUUUUUUAAAAUUUAAUUCCAAUUUCCGAAAUUCCAAUUUUCGUAUCAAUUUAUUUAAUCAUUAUCACUUUAUUCGUUUAUUCAUUUGUUUAUCUUUAAAAUUCAAUCUUUAACUCUUCAAAAUUUCGAUUUCUGAAUUUAAUUCAAAUUUCCAAAAUUCUAGUUUUCUUAUCGAUUUAUUUAAUCACUAUCAUUUUAUUCAUUUAUUUAUUUGUCUAUUUUUAUCAAAAUUCAGAUUUCCAAAUUAAGUUUCCAAUUUCCAAAAUUCCAUUUUUUUCAUUUACUUAAUCAUCAUUAUUUUCAUUAUUAUCAUUAUUCUAUUUAUUUAUUUCAAAAAUUCCUUCUUCAAAUGAUUCCAAUCUUAUGACUUUCGAAUUUAAUUUCUAAUCUAAAAAAUUUCAAUAUUUAUGUACGUUUUUCCCAAAACCCCAAUUUCCGAACUUAAUUUUCCAAAUUCCAAAAUUCUAAUUUCCUUCAAAUUUACUCUCCAAAAUUCUGAUCAUUAAAUUUAAUUCCCAAGACUCUAACUCCCAAAUAAAUUUCAAAAGUCCAGUUUUCACUCGAACGGUUUUGAUUCCACUCUAGUUUUCAAAUAAUCUUCUUUUUCUUUUGAUUUUAUAUAAGCGUGAAUGCAAUUUUCAUAAUUCCAAAAUAAUGGAAUUUGUGAUAUUAAUUCAUGCAAGAUUAAUCGGGCUUUGGUAGGGGCCCACAUAUGAGUUUUCUCUUCUGAUUGUAAAUUGUUAUGCUUGAUGAGUAUUGUUUGAUCUUUGUCUUGCUCUUUGAUAUGCAUGUGAUGAUUUUAUAUCUGAGCUAACCUUGUUUCCAUGAUAAUGCACUAUUACCUGCUGUCAAGAUACGCUCCCACUCCCGCUUUGCUUACUCUUAUGCGCGAUUCGUUUUAUUAUUUGAUCAUUUCAUUAAUAUCCAUUGACUUCCUUAUCAAUUGCCACACUUCCUUCACCUUAUUUAGUAGAGAUCCGAAUUUAGGGACUUAGAGGGGUGCUGCGGUCCUUAUCAUACCUUCCCGAUAAGUAACCUGACCCCCGAGCCUAAUCCGGUUUUUCACAGACCACCUUUUUCGAAAUAAUGAGUCACACUUAGGGUUUUAUUUCUUAUUUUAUUUACCCUUUAAAAAUAAAACAAAAAUAAGUAGUGACUCCAAGUCCUUUUUUAAUCAAUAAAUCAUUUUUUAAAAAUAAAAAUUGAACUCGCCAUCGAGUGGAAGCGCAUGAGCCGAAAUGCGGGGUCCACACUUACGUAAUCUAACAUUAUUUAUAUUAAAGCUUUUGUUAACGCAACAAACUAGUCUUCAAAUUGAUGAAUGGGGUUUUUUUUUUUUUUUUUUCNNNNNNNNNNNNNNNNNNNNNNNNNNNNNNNNNNNNNNNNNNNNNNNNNNNNNNNNNNNNNNNNNNNNNNNNNNNNNNNNNNNNNNNNNNNNNNNNNNNNNNNNNGGGGUUUUUUUUUUUUUUUUUUCUCAUUCAUACUGUGGACCCCGCAUUUCGGCUCAUGCGUUUCCCACUCGAUGGCAAGCUCGAUUUUUAUUUGAAAUUUUGAUUUUUAUUUGAUAAAGAAAAAUGACUUGGAGUCGCCACUUAUUUUUCUUUUAUUUUUAAAAAGGUAAACAAAAUAAGAAAGAAAAACCCUAAGUGUGACUCCUUAUUUUGGAAAAGGUGAUCUACGAAAUAUCGGAUUGGGUUCGGGGGUCAGGUUACUUAUCGGGAAGGUACGGUAUAAACCGUAGCACCCCUCUAAGUCCCUAGAGUCGGGUCUUUACUAAUACAAUGAAACUGACGUGGCAAUCAACGAGAAAGUCAAUGGAUACACACCUAAAUUAUACACAAUAUGGGAAUCAAAACACGCAAUAGAGAUUGACUAGAAUGAGAGUGGAUGCGUACCUCGACCACAAGCCACAAUGCGCUAUCAAGAAACGGGAUUAGUGCACAAUUAAGGAACACAAAAAAUAGCUCAUGCAUAUCGGAGUGCAAAACGAAGCUCAAGCAAAAUACAUUAAGAGCCCGUUUGGCAGUGAUUUUUAAAAGUGUUUCUACCCUUAAAAACACUUUUAAGUGUUUUUGGGAUGAAAAUAAAGUGUUUGGCAAAUUUUAAAAAACACUUUUGAAAAUCUGGAAAAACACUUGAAGUGAUUUUUAGAGAAUCACUUGAUAGGUGUUUUUUUAAAAAAAACACUUCAAUUUUUUUGAAAUAUUCCAAAAAUGCCCCCCAGUGAUAAAUCAAUUAGAAAAAUCUUUUUUUUUUUUCCAGAAAUUAAUAGGUGGUCAUAUAUUGUUUUACUUUUAAAAUUAUCUUUUAUUCAAUGUUCUUUUUUUUUUUUUAUUGAUUUAGAUGUUUUUUGUAAAUAUUUUUUAAAAUUUUAGUAUAGUGAUAAAAAAAUUAUUAUUUUUAAUUAGAAAAGUCUUUUUUUUUUUUUAGAAAUUAAUAGGUAAUCAUAUAUUGUUUUAAUUUUAAAAUUAUCUUUUAUUCAAUGUUAUUUUUUUAGUGAUUUAGAUGUUUUUUCAUUAAUAAAAAGUUUUUUUUGUUUAUCAUACCAUUUUUUUUUAAUUAAAAUUGUAUGUCCUUUUUGGUAAUUUAUUAAUAUUAAAAGUGUUUUUAUAUUUAUACAAUAUAUUAUCAAAAACACUUUAGAAUCAUUUUUUCUGAUUAUCAUAAAAGUGUUUUUCACAGAAACACUAUAACAGAAAACACUUCAAAUAAAAACACUUCCACUAGAAUCACUACCAAACGGGCUCUAAGUACGACAAUUGACAAUAAAAAAAGGAUCACACAUAGGGCCCCCACCAAAGCCCAAUUUAUUACUCAUGAACUAGUCUCACAAAUUCCGUGUUUUAGAAUUAUGAAGAAUUUAUUAUUGUUUAUGUAGAAUCAAGAAGAUCAGAAGAUUAUUUAAGAACCGGAAUAGAAUUAAAACUAUUCAAGUGAAAACUGGAUUUUUGGAAUUUACUUGAAAAUUGGAGUAUUGGGAAUUGAAUUUAAAAUAUUAGAGCUUCGGUAAUUAAAAUGAAAUUUGCCAAAGAAGAUGAGAAAUGAACUUUAGGAAAUUGAUUUGCGAGAAUAUGGGUUUUGAAAGUUGAAUUUGUAAUAAUAAUAAUAAUAAGGAGUGAACUUUAGGAAAUUGAACUGCGAGAAUAUAGAUUUUUAAUAAUAAUAAUAAUAAAAAAAAAUAAACUUUAGGAAAUUAAAUUGCGAAGAUAUAGAUUUUUAUUAAUAAGUAUAAUAAUAAUGAUAAUAAUAAUAUUAGGAAAUUGAACUGAGCGAGAGUAUAGAUUUUUAAUAAUAAUGCUAAUAAUAAUGCUAAUAAUAAUAAUAAUAAUAAUAAUAAUAAUAAUAAUAACCAUAAUAAUGAUAAUAAUAACAAUGAGGUUUUGGAAUAAUAAUAAUAAUGAUAACAAGAUUUUGAAAGUUGAAUUAAUAAUAAUAAUAAGAAUAAUAUUUUAAAAGUUGAAUUAAGAAUAAUAAUAACAAUAAUAUUUUAAAAGUUGAAUUAAUAAUAAUAAUAAGAUUUUAAAAGUUGAAUUAAUAAUAAUAAUAAUAAUAAUAAUAAUAAUAAUAAUCAUAAUAAUAAUAAGAAUAAUAAGAUUUUUAAAUAAUAAUAAUAAUAAGGUUUUGAAAGUUGAAUUAAUAAUAAUAAUAAUAAUAAUAUUUUAAACGUCGGAUUAAUAAUAAUAAUAAUAAUAAGAUUUUAAAAGUUGAAUUAAUAAUAAUAAUAAUCAUAAUAAUAAUAAUAAUAAUAAUAAGAUUUUGAAAUAAUAAUAAUAAUAAUAAGGUUUUGAAAGUUGAAUUAAUAAUAAUAAUGAUAUUUUAAAAGUUGAAUUAAUAAUAAUAAUAAUAAUAAUAAUAAUAAUAAUAUUUUAAACGUCGGAUUAAUAAUAAUAAUAAUAAUAUGGACUUCAAAAAAAUGGGCCUUAAUAAUGAUAAUAAUAGGCCUUGGACCUCAAAAAAAGGGCCUUGGGAAUGAAUAGUACAGGGGGCAUGAGGCCCUUCAUUAACGCGACUAGGCUUGGGCUUCCCCACCAGGCCCAUAUCCAUCAUCUUGGACAGGCCCCAAGCUCUAACUCCAUCACAUGCUUGGAUUGGGCCCCAACUCAAGCCCAAAUUAAAAGCAAACCCAAGAACACCAAAUUCUCUCACAGCCCACAUCUCCAACCUCCGCCUGGGCAUCACCAUCUAAAUACUCUGUGUCCUCGAGCUCACCGUCAACCUCAUCGCCUUCUUCAUCGGAACCCCACAUCUCAUCAUCCUCUUUCAAGGUUCGCCGCCCACGCGCACUCACACGCGCUUGCUCUGGUUGCCGAAGCCAAGGGUUGAACCAGUCUUGGACAGCCGCAAUAACGUCAGUGCGCGGGCAUCUGCUCAGUUCUCAUGUUAGACGAAGGAGAUGGGCCUUCCGAUCAGGGUUGAGGAGAAAAAGGGAGGAAGCGAUCCUGCUCGUUGGAGCAAUGCGCCAGGUGACCAUGGAGAUCGGUGGAGAAGUUACUCCUAGCCUCUGAGACGAGCAAUGGAGGAGGAGAAGCUCCACUGCCGCCAUUGAUUCAGCUGACUGGGCAAGCUUGAGGAGGCGGGUAUGAAGGAUGGCGGCCAUACAUGGCUAUGCGUGGCCACGUGAGAACGAGAGGAAUGAGUGCAAUGGACAAGGAAAAUGGGUUUGGAUAAGUUUAGAGAUAUGAUAUGCAUGGGCUGCUAGAGAGGAAUAUGAUGGAUGAACAUGGAGUAUACUAUGGAUGGGAAGGUAGGGAUGACUAUGCGCAUGGAGCUCCAUGCACACGAGAAGACAGAGAAUCAAAGGGUUAGUAUAGAUAGCAUGGGAUCUCAGACUUCAAUGUCUUCAAUAUUGCGUUCUCUGCAUCACUCCAAACAUGACGCUGGCUUUCAGGAUGGAGGCAAACAGAGCAAAGGAAAAAAAAAGCAAAACCAAGCAUGGAUAAUCGAAACAAAUGGAACCCAUAACAGCCUCAUGUUGUGCAUUAAUCCCUGGGCUUAGAUGGAGGUGGGUGAAAAUAAAGGAUCAUCAAACAAAACCAGAGCAUGGUUGCAGAUAUAUUAUGGGGAAAAACAAAGACGAAAUCACCUUAAGCAAGAACCAUUAAGAAGGGAUAUAUGGAUAUGCUUACCCUCAACACACAAACAUCACCCAAGAAUGGACAGAGAAAGAGAAGAGAACCAUACCUGUGAGUGAUCUUCUCUAACAAGAUCGAGCCAAAAACUCAGCAAAGCAUCCCUCUUUUCCCUUGCUUAGCUUUCCACCAUUCUCUCCUUUUCUUCCUUUCACUAUCUCCCAUCUCUCCCUCUUGUCCCGUCUUUUCCUCUCUGGCCCCCCACUUACUCCUCCUGCCACAGCCCCAAAGAAAAGAUAUAUUUAUUAUUAUUUUUUCUUUGCUGGCAGCUUCUCCUCCGAGCUAUCUCUCGCCGCCACCAGCAGCUCGCCUCAUCCCAUCCCAUGGCCGCCCGUUUCCCAGGUGGUCAGUAUAUAUAUAUAUAUAUAAACAAUCAGAUGUCUCUCAUGGGGGGUCUACACAUACUUUUAUUCAUUCAUGUAUAGAGUAUAUAUGAAGGAUAAUCACCAUUCUAAGAAUGGGAAAGAAUGAUACAAGGAAGGAAUGAUAUAAGGAAAUAAUGAUACAAGGAAAGGAAUAAUAUAAGGAAAUAAUGAUACAAGGAAAGCAUUCCUAAUAUCUCAACACUCCCCUCUUAAGGAAAAAAUGAUACAAGGAAAGUAUUCCUAAUAUCUCAACACUCCCCCUCAAGUUGGUGCAUAGAUGUCACACAUGCCCAACUUGUUUAAAAAUUUUGAGAACACUUGUCUUGAGAUAGCUUUGGUGAGGAUAUCAGCCAAUUGAUCUUCUGAUUUAAUCUUAGGCAAUUCCACAAUCUUAUCAUCCAACUUCUCCUUAAUGAAGAAUCUAUCCACCUCGACAUGCUUUGUAUGAUCAUGUUGUACUGGAUUAUGUGCAAUGUCACAUGCAACAUUAUUGUCAGAAAACAAUCGGAUUGGUUGCCUAGAUAGGUAACCUAAAUCCUGUAAGAGGAGUCUUAGCCAUAAUGCCUCACAAAGUCCUAAAGCCAUACCCCUAAAUUCUGCUUCUGCACUUGAAUGAGCAACGACAUUAUGCUUCUUACUUUCCAUGUCACAAGAUUACCACCUACAAAGAUAAAGUAACCAGAUGUAGACCGCAUAGCAUCCACUGUACCGACCCAAUCAGCAUCAGUAUAUACUUCUAUACUCUGAUGAUCAACAUUUUUAGCGAACAAAAUUCCCUUCCCAAGAGCAUUCUUCAAAUACCUCAAAAUACAUAUGAUUGCAUUCAUAUGUUGUUCUCCAGGAUUAUGCAUGUAUUGACUCACUAUACUCAGUGCAUAAGCAAGAUCUGGUCUGGUAUGAGCUAAGUACAUUAAUCUCCUUACAAGUCUUUGGUAUCUUCCUUUAUCGGUUGAUACUUGAUUAGGCUCAACACACAAUUUCAGACCUUUUUCUAUUGGUGUAUCCAAGGAUAGAAAUAUCGGUAAAUACGGAUAUAUCGGUACUUGGAUUUUACGGAUAUAUCGGAAAUAUCGGUGGAUUUUUCAUCAAAUAUCGGUGAGACAAAAAUUAUCCAAAAUUGAUGGGAAUGCUUAGAAAAAUCCAAAGAAUGAUAAAAUAAGCAAGAAUAUACAUGUUAAAGUUAUUUUAUAACUGUAAUUGACAUAAAUAUGGUCAAAGAAAAAAAUAUCGGUAAAUAGUUUACGAUACUUGGAUUUUAAGAAUAGAAAAUAUGAAAUUUGGAAUUGUACACUUAGAAAGUUAGAAUUGAGUUAAGAAAUAUUUGAUUUUAUUAAAUGAAAACAAUUUACACAUAAACAUAAUACAUAUGACAUUGCAAUGGUCCUUAAUACCAAAAUGAAGAUCGAUGUGGUUCCAUCAUAUUGUUAUUGUUAGAUGAAGGGAGCCCAUCUUGUUGAAGACAAUAUUCAUACCAGGACAUGGAGUUUCGAUAGUAUUGAUUGUAUGUACGAACAUGCCAUGCAUAAAUUUCUUGAGUCUACCAACAACUUGUCCAUGGAUAGGAAAUCCAAGGUUUUCCCAUGUGCUCGUUUGAAAUCCUUGUUGUUGCAACUGAUGUGGAAGGUAGUAUGGCAUUUGUGUGGAAGAAGGAUAGUUAUACCUUUCAUACUCUUCAUCAGUGGAACUUGAAAGAUUUUGAGGAGGCUGACCAUAACUCAUUGCAUAAGGGGCAUAAAUGUUGGCUUCGUUUGAUGAAUCACUGAAUUGAGUCUCUACACUCAUCGACUCAAAACUGGCCGACAAUGAGUCCUCGUUGUACAACAUCAUCCUUCGUUGUCUUCCUCUAUAUGGCUUUCCAAUGGCUCCAACACCUGGACCGGCUCUUCUAGAGCCGUGGUCUUCAUCUUGAGUACAAUGUGUGAAAUCAUCUUCACAAGUAAAUGCCAAUGGUUGUCCACUUUGUUGUUGUUGUCUAACAUCCCCUUCAUCAUUUCCAAGGUCGCUACCAUCAUUGGUCCCCUCUUCUCUUGAACCAUCAUAACCGGAAGCGGAGGCGAAAGUACCAGUAGCACUAGGUCUACUACUAUGUUCAACACUCGUGGAGUCAAAAGAAGGUCGAGAAGUGACUGCCGGCUGAGAAAUUCCUUGUCAAAAUGAAUAUCUCGUGUCUUGGCUGAAACUAUCAGUAUGAACUUCUUCGGAUAACACUCAAUCAACAUCAACACCUGCUUCUCGGACAUGUGCGGCAAUUCGUGGGUCGGGAUUUCCAUCUUCAUCAUCUAAAUGAAGAGGUCUAACCCAUUGAAACAAUUGGUUAUCUUCUUCUUCACCAACCUCAGUUGCAAUGUCAAGUAAAUCGAGGUAAUCUUUCUCUGCAACUUUGUCAUGUUCUGCUUCCAUGUCACGUAUCUUUAGUUUCAUGUUAUAAUAAUAGAAAACUAAUUGUUGGAGCAUCGGGUAAGCAAGCCGAUUUCUUUGUUUUGUAUGAAUUAAGGCAAACGUGCUCCAAUUUCUCUCACAAGCUGAAGAUGAUGCAGUUUGCGAUAAAGCCUUGAUGGCCAACCUUCUUAAUGUAGGAGUGUGAUUUCCAUACAUGAACCACCAUUCAGCUACAACCAAAUAAAUGAUAUCAAUACUUAUAUUGGAAAGUUACAAUAAUAUGCUAAUGAAAUGAAUUAUUAAUUCACAAAUAAUACUCACCGGGAACCAUUUCUGACCUCGAAGCAAUCGCUGCUCGAUCACCGAAUCCUCUUUUUGCAUCUCGAAAUAGUAUAAUCUACAUAUUAAAUAAUUGAAAGUGAAAAAGUUGAGUAAAUGAAAUUCAAUUAUUUAAUUUAUAUUAUAACUCUAAUAAUUUACCUCAUUUCCAAAUUGACUAAGACCUUCUGAUGUAGGAUCUAAUUUCGCAAAGACUUCAUGAACAGCUUGAAGUAGAUCAGGAUCAGUACCAACUCCACGUUUAUAUUGAAAUCUUGGAUUAAGAAAGAAUGCUACAAUAGUAAAGUAGAAAUGUAAAAUUAGAAUGUUAUGAAAGAAACAUAUUAAAUACCUAUAAAUUUCAAAGAUGAAUAAUACUUACCUGCUGCAUGAAGAGGAUGUUUAAGAGUUCUAUCCCAACGAUCUGCAAUUAUUUCUAACACCCAUUCUUUAGCAUUAAGUCGAAUGAGGUUCUCUUUCAUAACUCGAAUCAAUUCAUACACAAAUGGCAUUGUAGGAACAACUUCUGAAUCGACAAUGCGAAGAACUGUGUAUAACGCCUCAUAUAUUGACACUCACUUUCCCACUCUUUCCCAGUACGCAUGGUCAAACAUAAGUGAUUCAACUUCUUUGCCGAUUAAUGUGCGACUUAAGUUGUGUUGUGCCCAUUCAUCACUGAUAAACACUUUCUUCAAGUUUGCUUUCUUUUUCAAAAGACUGUCGAGGGCUAUAUAAUUGGUUGCAAAUAUUGUUGCUCCAGGACGAACUAUGUCUCCACCACACACCUUCCGCAUCUGUGCAAGCAACCAACCAUGGUUAUAAAUGAAGUUGGUUAUCUUUCGAGCCUUUGUAAUCACAUCUGCAACACUCGUCCUUUUACCGAUGUCUUCGAACAUUAAGUCGAUGCAAUGUGCUGCACACGGAGUCCAAUAAAGAUUGUAUUUUUUCAUUAACAACUUCCCCGCCUUCACAAAUGCCGACCCAUUAUCUGUAACUAUUUGGACCACAUUUUGUUUGCCAACUUCCUUGAUUACAUCCUUCAACAAACCAUAUAUGUAUUUGUUGUCCUUUAUAUUAUUUGAUGCAUCAACAGAUUUGAGGAAGAUUGUGCUACCUUUUGAAUAUACCAUGAAAUUAAUUAUGCUUAAUUUCGUGGGUCCAGUCCAUCCGUCAGACAUAAUCGUGCAUCCAUAAGUCUUCCACUUUUCUCUUUGAAUAUUGACAUAAGCUUCCAUGUCUUUGUACUCCAUAUCCAAAUACUCGUGUUUGAUUUCAUAAGGAGGCGGUGGUUCUAUACCCAUACCUACCAUCCAUAUAUAAUUAAAACAUAUAAGAACAUUUGUGGCAAUCAUACUAUAUAAAUAGUAAUGAUAUUGUUAAAAUGAAUACAACUUUUAAAAUUAUAGUAAUUACCUGCUUGUUGUGCACCAAUAAUCAUGUUCUUGAAGUGGUGAGAGUCUGCUUUAUUGGGCGGAACACUCUCAUAUAUGAAGAACUUACUGAUCAAAAGUCCCAUGGUUUCCUUGAUGGCACCACAUUUGAAAAGAUUUUUCAUAGUUUUCUGUCUUGCCGCUGAAGAUUUGUACAAUGAGGGUGCAUCAGGCAGUGAUGGAUCUGAAUAUCGAACACUUUGCGAUUUUCGCAUUUGCCUUGUUGUUGGAUUGGUUGGAUGUGAAGACUCGCCUAUUAUAAUUAUUAAAAUUAAACAUAUAUGCUAAUUUAAUAUUAUUGAUAAAGUUGAUAAGAAAUAGUAAUAAUUCAAAUUAAUAUUAUACUUGUUUUUCUUUUGCUUUUUAUAAAAUGUUCUUCUUGUUGUCGAUUCCAUUCAGCAGCUUUUGAUGCUUGAACCGCCUCUCUAUAAGCAUGUCGCUCAUCAGGGUGCAUGUCAGCCGGAUACAUAUACACAUCAUCAUCUCCAUCAUCAUCAUCACCACCAAGGUUCUCCUCAUCGUCCUCAUCAAUUACAUGUCUAUGUCUUCUUCCCAUUGUGUCUCGCAGUUCUGAUCGAAUCUCUUCUAUAUCUGCAGCUUUCUUCGCUUUUGCCUUAUUUUUUUGCUCUAGAAGUCGUCUUAUUUCUUGUUUCACUUCUGGAGGCACGUUAAGACACUUUUUUGUAUUUGAAUUAGGGUCUGUAUGUGAUAGGUGAAAUUUAAAACAAGUAAUCCCACCACUCUUUAUUGCCAACCCACAGUAAUUGCAUAUUGUUCCAUUUUUGUUCCCUUCCAUAGGUGUACAAUAUUUCCAACAAGGAUCUCGACCCAUGAUACCACUUUCACUAGCCAUUUUCUAAAAUUGAAUUAUGAAACUAAUAUCAAAUUUAAAAUUAUUAAAGAUAAAACAUGUAUGAAAUUUAAUAUUCAUGAAAUUGAUAAGAACUAAUAAAAAUUGAAAUUAAAAUUGAAUUAUGCACAUAUGAAAUAGAUAAACAUUACAAUAAAAUUUCAAUAUGAAUUAAAUUUAAAUUAAAUUAAAUUUGCAUAUUCAUGAAAUUGAUAAGAAUCAUUACUAAUAAAAAUUAAAAUUAAAAUUGAAUUAUGCAUAUAUGAAAUAGAUAAACAUUACAAUAAAAUUUUGAUAAGAAUUAAAUUAAAUUAAAUUAAAUUAAAUUUGCAUAUUCAUGAAAUUGAUAAGAAUCAUUACUAAUAAAAAUUAAAAUUGAAUUAUGCAUAUAUGAAAUAGAUAAACAUUACAAUUACAUUUCCAUAUGAAUUAGAUAAUAUCAAUUAAACUAUAUAUAACAAAUAAAAUUGAAUUAUACAUAAUAAAAUAAAUUUUAUGGAAGGUAAGACAUACCUUAAUUAGCCUUGACUUGGAGUUAAUCCCCUUCACCACCAAAUUUUCAAAAUAAAAAAAUUUUGCUAGAUCAUAUAAGAAUUUUGAUGUAUGAAAUGGAAUGGAAUGUGGGUAUUUAUAGGAAUUUUUUGGUCAAACUAGCCAUUGGAUGGUCAAAUAGUCGUUAUAAAUUAAUUUUAACCGUUGGAUCAAAAUUUGGUUCAAAUUUCACCAUUAGAUUUUCAUAUAACCGUUGGAAACACUCCAUAGCCCUUGGAUAAAGUGAAGAUUGAUUUUCCACCAUUGGAUCACAAAUCUGACCGUUGGAGGCCUUUACAAAUACACGGGUGAAAUCUGGGCCAUCAGAUCCUCAAAAAUUCAAAAUUGGCCAUCAGAUCAAAAUCAUUGGAGCUGGGAAAAAUCGGCGAUUUUCUCGGUAAAAAAUCGGCGAUAUAUCGGUAAAAUCGUCGAUUAAUCGCUGAUUUUUUCAACUCCUCUGGCAGCUUCUCCGCGCGUGCCUCCACUCUUCGAUUUUUUGCCGAUUUAUCGGUGCUUCACCGAUAUUUCGCCAAUAUAUCGGCGAUUUUGCCAAUUUUUGGCCGAUUUUUCCAUCGAUCGAUAAUCGGUGACGAUUAUUGUUUCAGUGCCGCCCGAUAUCCGAUAUUUAUUCGAAAUAUCAACGAUAUAUCCCGAUUUUUCAAUCCCUGGGUGUAUCAACAAGUUGACAUCCCGACAUUCCAGUCUCCUAUAAAAGAUUUAAGGCAUACUUUCUUUGAGACAGAAAAAUUCAUUCACUUGAUUGAGAAACUUCAAUCCCAAGAAAGUAUUUCGGAGGACCUAGAUCUUUCAUUUCGAAUUCUCUAGAUAGAUAAUUCUGUAGAGCUUUUCUUUCUUCAGGAUCAUUUCCUGUAACUACCAUGUCAUCCACAUAUACGAUGAGUGUCGUAAUCUUACCAUGUUGCUUUUUCAGGAACAAAGUGUGAUUUGAAUUACUUUGAUGAUAGCUAAAAGCUCUCAUUGACUUUGUGAACCUUCCAAACCAUGCUCUCGGGGAUUGCUUCAACCCAUACAAUGAUUUCUUCAAUUUGCACACCUUCUGACAUUGCUUUUCUGACCCCAUGCAUCCUGAUGGAAGAUCCAUAUAUACUUCUUCAGAUAACUCGCCAUGUAGAAAGACAUUUUUUACAUCGAAUUGUUGUAAUGGUCAAUCCAGGUUUGCAGCUAAAAACAGUAAUACUCGAACUGUAUUGAUCUUAGCUACAGGUGCAAAUGUCUCUGUAUAGUCAAUUCCAUAAGUUUGAGUGUACCCUUUUGCUACCAAUCUUGCUUUAAAACGUUCAAUACUACCAUCUGCCUUGUACUUCACAGUAUAGAUCCAACAACACCCAACUGGCUUCUUUCCUGGUGGACAUUCUACGAGUUCCCAUGUUUCAUUCUUCUAUAAUGAUUUCAUAUCUUCAUUCAUGACUGCUUUCCACCUUGGAUUAGCUAAGGCUUCCUGCACACUGUUAGGAAUAGUUACAAUAGAUAAUUGAUUUACAAAUGACUUAUUUGAUUCAGACAAACAAUGGUUAGAUACAUAGUUGCUCAUGGGAUAUUUGACAUUGGUAGACAAUUUAGGUUCAUAUGUGGGUUUAGGAAUAUCUCUAUUAUGACGGUGUGGAAACCGUUUUGUGAAUGGAUUAGGUUCCAAAUUAAGAACACCCUCAACAGACGACGAUUGGUUUGGUAUUUCAGUGAAGGCAUCUUUAGACCCAAAUUGCUCGGAUGGUUCAAUUGUACUGUCUCUCCCCUCUUUUAUCACUUCUUCAGCUUCUGGGUGGUCAUUACUACCUGGUUCACCCGCUUCUUUAUUCACUAGUUUAGAUUGUCCAUAUUCAUCCUCCUUAGAGAUAUCAUAAUCGAGAGUCUGAAUUUCCUUAUAGUACUCCCCUUGAAGUUCAGACUCAAAUGAAAAAUACAUUGAAUCUUCAUGAAACACCACAUCCAUUGUAAUAAACAUUCGUCGAGUUGGAGGAUGAUAACAUCGAUAUCCCUUUUUGUGCAAUGCAUAUCCAACAAACACAUAUUGCAAUGCACGGGAAGUUAACUUGGUGCGUUGGUGUUUGUGUAGAUGCACAAAUGCCAUGCAACCAAAAACACGAGGAGGUAGAUUUGGGAUGGUUGGGGCAACUACAACAUUAGUAAGAGCUUGGAGAGGUGUUUGGAAGUCAAUUGAACUGGAAGGUACCCGAUUGAUCAAGUAUGUAGCAGAUAUGAUUGCUUCUCCCCAAUAAGAUAUCGACAUUUUUGCUGCUAUCAAGGAAGCAUGAACAACCUCUAACAAGUGCCGAUUUUUUCGUUCAACGACUCCAUUUUUCUGGGGUGUAUUGGAACAAGUAGUCUGAUGAAUGAUGUCAUGUCCUUCCAAAUACUUUUGAAGAUCAGAAUUAUGAUAUUCUCCACCAUAUCGCUACGCAGAACCCGAACCUUUGCAUUGUAUUGAGUUUCAAUCAUUUUAUGAAAAUUUUGAAACAACAAGUUCACUUCAUCUUUGGUCUUCAUCAAGCAUAACCAGGUCAUUCUGGUACAAUCAUCAAUAAAAGUAACAAACCAACGCGAGCCUCUCAAAGUUGGGACUUUGGAUGGGCCCCAAACAUCAUAAUGUAUAACCAUAAAAGGAAGCGGACUUUUAUUCAAAAUUAACGGAAACGAAGUACGAUGACUUUUAGCCAAUUCAAAAAUAUCUCAACGAAAACCAGAAAUAUCACUCAUUGCAAACAAAUUAGGAAACAAUUUUUUAAAAUAGCCAAAGGAAGCAUGUCCCAAGCGUCGAUGGCACAACCAAAUUUCAGACUUUUUCUCCUCCCCCUCAAAUCCAUCUAUCAUCAAGGCUUGUCGUAAUUUAUUGGAAUCCUUUGACUGCAAGUCCAAGUAAUAGAGUUUUUCCACUUAAUACCACAACCAAUCGUCUGUCUUGUUUGGAUGUCCUUAAAAACACAAAAUUCAGGCCAAAAAAUGACAAUACAAGAUAAUGCUGCAGUGAUUUGAGAAAUUGACAAAAAAUUGUAAUCUAAAGAUGGAACAACUAAAAUAGAAUCCAAAUUCAAAGUAUCAGUAAGAGUUAAGGAUCCUUCCCCAAUGACUGGGGUUGUGUUACCAUUGGCUGUGGAAAUAAUUUUUUGUGAGGAAGGUAUAAGGGGUGAGACCUGUCUAGAAUCAAAAGUCAUAUGAUCUGUAGCACCAGAAUUAAUUAUCCAUGCACUAUUAAUAACAGGUGUAGAAGUAUUCAAAAACUUACCAUCAUAAUCUAUAUUGGCUACCAAUGCAGAGACAUUCUCAGUAACAUUAGCCUCUGUUUUUAUUUCGGCAAUAGCUGCAGUCGAGGUUUUCUUGGAAUUCUUCUUCCGUUGAUCACGAUUAUGAUCCCACCAGUCUGGAUAUCCCACAAUUUCAAAGCAACAACUCUUGGUAUGACCAGUCUUAUUGCAGUGAGUGCAUUUGAAGGUUGACUUAUCAAUAUUAGGGCCCGUCUUAGGAUGGUUGGUCUUGGAUUGGUCCUGCCAAUUCUGGGUUGAUCGCUGUCGGACUACCAUAGAUGAGGUGUCAGGAUUGUCAUAUUAUGUUUUCAUACUAGCAUGACGCACUGCCUCUCGUCGAAUCAGUGCAUAGCAUUCUUCCAAAUUGGGAAGAAGAUCUUUGCGUAGAAUCUCUCCUCGAACUUGCUCAAAGUCACCAUCCAAUCCAGCAAGAAAGAUGUGCACCCAUUGUUGUUCAAUGGAUUUCCGAUAUGUUGUAAUGUCAUCAGGGUCUUUCAUGACCACCUUAUCCCGAUGAUCCAAUUCGCAAAAAAUCUCAGUUAACUCUCCGUAAUAUUCAGAAAGAGACCUGCCGCUUUGUUUGGAAGUGAAUACUUUUUUUAUUCAAAGUGAAAACUUGUAAUUCAUCGCUUCCAUCAUAGAAGACAUUUGAUAAUGCACUCCAAAUUUCUUGAGCGGUGGGUAAGCGUAAGUAACACUUCAUAAUUUCUUGACUCAUGGACAUUAACAACCAUUUCUUCACCUUUUGAUUCUCAGCAUACCAUUUUUCAUAUCUAUCUUCUGACUCUUUUGGUGGAUUUGUUUUACCUCGAAUGUAGGAAAGUUUUUCCCGUUCAACAAUAUGCAUCUUCAUAAGUUGUGACCAAACGUCAUAGUUUGAUUCAAUCAAAAUAAUUCCUAGAUUAAAAGUACCUUCAGAUUGAAAAAUAAUAGUAUUUUUUUCACUUUUUUUUUUUUUUUGAUGAUUAAAUAUAAUAUAUAUUCAACUGGUGAUGUAGGAAGAAAGUGACAAAAAAUAGGGGACCCUAAAUAGAAAGAAAGAUUUUUCAAGAAAAUCAAAUAAUAGAGAAAAAAAUAGUAGAAGACACUGAAAGUACAAAUAAGCAUGCCAGGUUGUAGGACAAUGUCAGUUUUCCGGCAACUGUCCAAGAUUUCAGUUCCAUGGCUUUGAUACCAUCUUCAAAUUAAUGAAUGAGGUUUUUUUUUUUCUCAUUCAUAUUUUUAUUCAUUCAUGUACAGAGUAUAUAUAAAGGGUAAUCAUCAUUCUAAGAAUGGGAAAAAAUGAUACAAGGAAUGAAUGAUAUAAGGAAACAAUGAUACAAGGAAAGGAAUGACAUAAGGAAAGAAUGAUACAAGGAAAGUAUUCCUAAUAUCUCAACAACUGGUAUAUCACUUUUGACGAUAAAAGGAAUUUUAGUUAAAAGUGAGGUUAAUUGCUCUAUUGUAAUGAUAUGAUAUAAAAUGUCUCUUUGAUGGAAAAAAUUGAAAAUUGAGUUCAUAGAAUUUAGUCUGAAAAUUAUUGAAAAAUGUCUCAAAUUCUUAAUUAAUAAAAAUUUAUUUUUACACAGAAUAUUAUAUAAAAUAUUUUCUAAAUUAAUACAUCAUUGUAAUAUUAUAUUAUUUUAUAGAAUAAACAAAGUUAUUAGAAAUAUCUUAAUAAAUAUUUUAGGUUAAGAAAAGAAAAAGUUAAUAAGAUAAAUAUGAGCUUUUAGAGACUACACAUUGUUUUAUCUUAGUAUCGGAAGGCCAGGUUGCGGAGAAGUUGAACAUGGAUAAAGCAUAUGGGCUGGCCUUACAAUGAGCCGCCCCACUAAUGGUGCACCCACAGCCGAGGCUGUCACCCCAAGGUUUCGGGAAGUAAAUGAGGUUGUUUUCCCAUGAUUAAAACAGAAAACUUGAUGAUGGAUUUGGCUGAAUAAUUAUGACGUUGGAGAGCGAUGGAGUGUAGUAGUUUCGUGAUGGGUUUUCCCUCAGCCACGUGGACGUUAAUAUUGUAAACGUUGACUCUGAAGGAGCUAUCUAAUAAUGCAAUAUGUCGGAUUAAAAAUUAAAUUAUUUACCCCACAAUAUGAAUGUCGAGCGUAGGAGAAGAAAGUCAUAUGAUGAAUAUGAAGGCAUCACAAUCUAAAGAGUCGUGCAAUGCGGCGAGUGAAUAUGACCAAUAAAAGCACGAAAACUGAACGGGAGUCGCUUCAUCUGUCCUGCAUUCAUUUACAUUCUUUGCCCCAUUGGUUAAGAAUCCGUCCUGUUCUAGGAAAAUUUUUCCCAUCAUUUCGAAUGUCUUCCCAUUUAAAUAUGAAAUUUUGAAUGGUCGUGUAUGAUUUUUUUCUUACUAGCCAUUAUUUUGAGAAUAAUACAAGUUUGACCAACACAACUAUGUCUUUUUUCCUCAUAAUAAAUUUCCAAUCUUGAUUCAUUAUAAUUUUUUAAUGAAAUAAUUCAAAAAAACUACAUACAAGUUGUUAUACAUCUUGCUCAUGUGUGUAAAAGGAAAGAGAUACAUCCUUGUUUUUCAACUAUUAAAAUGAUAUCCUUGGGCCAAUUCUUUCAUUACGUCUGAAUAUUUUGGGAGAAUUGUGGAACCAUUUUGAGACAGUGAAUUUAAAUAGCAUUUUUAAUAUUUUAAAAAAUUAUUAUUAAAAACGUUUUUUAAUAUCCAUUUUUUCAACAUCAGGACCAAGAACGCAAAAUAAAAUAUAAUUUUCCCUACUUGCUACCAAAGAUUUUGGUUGAUUAUUUUUCUGAUAAUAAAUAAUAUUUUAUUUUGCGUUCUUGGUCAAAAAAUGGAUAUUAAAAUAUAUAUAAUUUUUCAGCUACAACAGCGCGCACGGAGCACGCUCUUAGUUAGAACACACUUGUACCCGUCAUCUUUGAUUUAGCUAACCCCGAAUCUCCCUUUAUAUUCCUCUCUGGAUUCAGGAGCCGAGACUCAGAGAUAAGCCAAGAAGCCAUGAAUCCCCUGGCGCUGAUUUUCUGCACGGCUCUCUUCUGCAUUCUCCUCUACCACUUCCUCACGCGCCGCUCUGUCCGCCUCCCUCCGGGGCCCAAGCCAUGGCCGAUUGUGGGGAACCUCCCUCACCUGGGCCCCGUCCCUCACCACUCCAUUGCUGCGCUCGCUAAAACCUACGGCCCUCUCAUGCAUCUCCGUAUGGGCUUCGUCGACGUCGUGGUGGCCGCCUCCGCCUCCGUUGCCGCUCAGUUCUUGAAAACUCAUGAUGCUAAUUUCUCCAACAGGCCUCCUAAUUCAGGUGCCAAGCAUAUCGCCUACAACUAUCAGGAUCUGGUGUUCGCUCCCUACGGCCCCCGGUGGCGCAUGCUCCGCAAGAUUUGCUCCGUCCACCUCUUCUCUGGCCAAGCCUUGGAUGAUUUUCGCCAUAUCCGACAGGUACCUAGCUUAAUCUCUCUCAGAAAUGAAUCCUUUCUCAAUUUUAAUCCAUUUUUCGUUUUUUCUUCCUGAUCGCUUCUAUUAUUUCAUCGCAAAUUAAGAUCUGGUUACACAGAUUUCAUUUUUCCAUAAAAACAUGUAAGAAAAUAAUAGCAUGUGUUCACCAUCAUUGUCUAGUCCUGUCAGAGUAUUUGCAGUCUCCACUCUCUCUGUAUACACUACACAUCUUUUUGAAGAAGGCCCGGCUCCACAAGUUUAUUAUUACUAUUUUUUUAAUGAUUUUUUUUAGUAAGGUUGUUUUCCUCCGGCAGUGGAAGUCCGUGCAUUCACGCGAGACUUUACCAUUUAAUAUUUAAAAUUAUAUUUUUUUAAUGUUUGUUUUAUAAAAAUACUGAACUGACAAAUGAGUUGCCGCUGAGUUUUAUCCAAUUUUGAUGAUUAGAAAAAUAAUCAGUAGAUGAAAAUUUAUGUGACGUACAGGAGGAGGUUUUGGCGCUAAUGCGCGCACUUGCGAGGGCGGGUCAAACGCCGGUGAAGUUGGGGCAGCUGCUGAACGUGUGCACUACCAACGCCCUAGGGCGGGUGAUGUUAGGCAGGAGAGUGUUCGGCGACGGCAGCGGAGGCGAAGAUCCGAAGGCCGACGAGUUCAAAGAGAUGGUGGUGGAGCUGAUGGUCCUGGCCGGAGUUUUCAACAUCGGCGACUUUGUGCCGGCGCUGGAAUGGCUGGACCUGCAGGGCGUAGCUUCCAAGAUGAAGAAGCUCCAUGCUCGGUUUGACGCUUUCCUGGGCGCCAUCGUGGAGGAGCACAAGAUCAGCGGCUCUGCUGGUUCCGAGCGUCACGUGGACUUACUCAGCACGUUGAUCUCGCUGAAGGAUAAUGCCGACGGUGAGGGAGGCAAGCUCACCGACGUUGAGAUCAAAGCCUUGCUCUUGGUAUCUCUCAUUAUCCAUUUUCUGUCACUGUUUCGUCUACUUCUUGUGGUAAUUUGGCACCUGAAAUUGAUGAAAACCGUCUGUUGACAUGGCAGAACUUGUUCACAGCUGGAACUGACACCUCAUCCAGCACAGUGGAGUGGGCCAUUGCAGAGCUCAUUCGCCACCCUGAAAUGAUGGCCCAAGCCCAACAAGAGCUGGACGCAGUGGUGGGCCGAGGCAGGCUUGUAACUGAUUUGGACCUGCCCAAACUUACCUAUCUCCAAGCCAUAGUCAAGGAAACCUUCCGCCUGCACCCAUCCACGCCCCUCUCCCUCCCUCGGAUGGCGGCGGAGAGCUGUGAGAUCAACGGCUACCACAUCCCCAAAAACGCCACUCUUCUAGUGAACGUGUGGGCCAUAGCGCGGGACCCAGAGGUGUGGGAGGAGCCACUAGAAUUCAGGCCCAACAGGUUCCUCCCAGGAGGGGAAAGACCAAAUGCGGACGUGAGAGGGAAUGAUUUUGAAGUGAUUCCAUUCGGGGCUGGCCGGAGAAUAUGCGCGGGGAUGAGCUUGGGACUGAGGAUGGUGCACCUGUUAACCGCGACGCUUGUUCAUGCGUUCAACUGGGAGUUGCCGGAAGGCCAGGUGGCGGAGAAGCUGAACAUGGAUGAGGCAUAUGGGCUGACCCUACAACGAGCCGCCCCACUCAUGGUGCACCCACGGCCAAGGCUGUCACCCCAAGUUUUCGGGAAGUAAAUGAGGUUGUUUGCCCAUAAUUAAAGUAGAAGACUUGGUGAUGGAUUUGGCUGAAUAAUUAU